rnacentral:lncRNA from 1 species
CUGCAUUAAAUCCUGCUUUAUGUUGAUAAAAAUUCCUGUUGCCAUAAUAGUUUUGCAUCCAAUCUUUUUGAAAAGCUUGGUUUAUGGCACUACAAUUCAGUCCAAGAGGAAUUAACCCAAGUUCAAGCAUAUUUUAUGAUACCUUUUUUUUUUUCUGAAGUCUAGGUAAAAUUAACUUUAAUUUUGGUUUCUUUCCAAAUUCUGCAUUUAACCUGGAUGAGUGAAUGAAGGGUUGAAGGACCAUCGCAUUUUCAUGUUAUAAUUGAUGUUUAUGUUGGGCAAGUGAACACUGUUCAUAUAUCAAGCUGUCAAGUAUUGUCACCUUAAUAGAGUAAACAAUUAAAAAGAAGAAUUGUAACAAUCAUUUUAAUGGGCUUCUUGUUCAUUAAUUUCAUAGAAAAAAACUAAAACUGAUUUGUGAAAAUAAACUACCCAUACUUUGCCUCUUUCUCUCUUUUUAAAGUGAUCCAUCAGCUAGACCAUCACAAGUGUUCUGUAAAUCUAUUUUAUUCCCCUUACUUUAUAGGAAAAUUAGA